rnacentral:rRNA from 1 species
CACGUAGGGGGCAAGCGUUGUCCGGAUUUAUUGGGCGUAAAGAGCUCGUAGGCGGCUUAGUAAGUCGGGUGUGAAACCUCCAGGCUCAACCUGGAGACGCCACCCGAUACUGCUGUGGCUAGAGUCCGGUAGGGGAGCGUGGAAUUCCUGGUGUAGCGGUGAAAUGCGCAGAUAUCAGGAGGAACACCAGCGGCGAAGGCGGCGCUCUGGGCCGGAACUGACGCUGAGGAGCGAAAGCGUGGGGAGCAAACAGG